CAAUAGCGUAUAUUAAAGUUGUUGCAGUUAGAACGCUCGUAGUCGGAUUUCGGGGCGGGCCGACCGGUCUGCCGAUGGGUACGCACUGGUCGGCGCGUCCUUCCUUCCGGAGACCGUCCCUACUCUUAACUGAGCGGGGGCGGGAGACGGAACUUUUACUUUGAAAAAAUCAGAGUGUUUCAAGCAGGCAGUGCGCUCUUGCAUGGAUUAGCAUGGGAUAAUGAAAUAGGACUUUGGUGCUAUUUUGUUGGUUUCGAACACCGAAGUAAUGAUUAAAAGGGACAGUCAGGGGCACUCGUAUUCCGCCGAGAGAGGUGAAAUUCUCAGACCAGCGGAAGACGAACCACUGCGAAAGCAUUUGCCAGGGAUGUUUUCACUG
rnacentral:rRNA from 1 species